UACGUAGGGUGCAAGCGUUGUCCGGAAUUAUUGGGCGUAAAGAGCUCGUAGGCGGCUUGUCACGUCGACUGUGAAAACCCGGGGCUCAACUCCGGGCCUGCAGUCGAUACGGGCUGGCUUGAGUGCGGUAGGGGAGACUGGAAUUCCUGGUGUAGCGGUGAAAUGCGCAGAUAUCAGGAGGAACACCGGUGGCGAAGGCGGGUCUCUGGGACGGUACUGACGCUGAGACGCGAAAGCGUGGGGAGCGAACAGG
rnacentral:rRNA from 1 species